GAUGAACGCUGGCGGCGUGCCUAAUACAUGCAAGUCGAGCGAACAGACGAGGAGCUUGCUCCUCUGAUGUUAGCGGCGGACGGGUGAGUAACACGUGGAUAACCUACCUAUAAGACUGGGAUAACUUCGGGAAACCGGAGCUAAUACCGGAUAACAUGUUGAACCGCAUGGUUCAACAGUGAAAGACGGUCUUGCUGUCACUUAUAGAUGGAUCCGCGCCGCAUUAGCUAGUUGGUAAGGUAACGGCUUACCAAGGCGACGAUGCGUAGCCGACCUGAGAGGGUGAUCGGCCACACUGGAACUGAGACACGGUCCAGACUCCUACGGGAGGCAGCAGUAGGGAAUCUUCCGCAAUGGGCGAAAGCCUGACGGAGCAACGCCGCGUGAGUGAAGAAGGUCUUCGGAUCGUAAAACUCUGUUAUUAGGGAAGAACAAAUGUGUAAGUAACUAUGCACGUCUUGACGGUACCUAAUCAGAAAGCCACGGCUAACUACGUG
rnacentral:rRNA from 1 species